GGAGAGGUGCCGGAGAGGCCGAACGGCCCUGACUCGAAAUCAGUGGAGGACGCGAGUCCUACGUGGGUUCGAAUCCCACCCUCUCCG
rnacentral:tRNA from 1 species